UACAGAGGUCUCAAGCGUUGUUCGGAUUCAUUGGGCGUAAAGGGCGCGUAGGCGGCGAGGUAAGUCGGGUGUGAAAUCUCAGAGCUCAACUCUGAAACUGCACUCGAUACUGCUUUGCUAGAGGACUGGAGAGGAGAUUGGAAUUCACGGUGUAGCAGUGAAAUGCGUAGAGAUCGUGAGGAAGACCAGUGGCGAAGGCGGUUGCCUGGGGCUUUGCUGACGCUGAGGCGCGAAAGCGUGGGGAGCGAUCCGG
rnacentral:rRNA from 1 species